UAACCGAGACGUUAAUUUUAGACCCUGCUUGGCCGCCAUGAAGCUGACAUGAACCAUAUUGAAAAUUUAAUAAAAUCUGUAAACGGUUAAUCAGAUACGGUUAAUUACUUCACGAUUUGUUUACUUAAAUUCUUUGUAAUGACAAUGAACCAGCCAAAUCAAUGAUUUAGAGUUGUUUAUAACAAAAUAUUCUCAUUUGUCGCCACUUACUGGUUUAACGUUAACGUCAUGUGUGAGUCUAUUCAUUCCUAUAAAUCUAACAUACUUUUUAUUUUCAGCAGCUGGAGGAGAGACAGCCUGUGUAGCAACAACAAGACAACAAUGAUUAUAAGCAGGGAUAAUCUCCAGGUGGACUGCACGGGUCCAGGAUCAAGAGAUCAUUCAUCAUGCACACCAUGUUCCAGGAGAAGCAGCGUAUCCUGGGUCUGCUUGAUCAUUUUGUUGUCCUGGAUGUGAGAACAUGGUCAAAAGGUGUGUCAAUCAGCAUCCACCCAUAAAAGCUGCCUUCUCGUUAAAAGGCUCAGGAGGACA